ACCUGGGAAUGGCAGUGGAUACUGGCGAGCUAGAGUGCGGUAGAGGGUAGUGGAAUUCCCGGUGUAGCAGUGAAAUGCGUAGAGAUCGGGAGGAACACCAGUGGCGAAGGCGGCUACCUGGACCAGCACUGACACUGAGGCACGAAAGCGUGGGGAGCAAACAGGAUUAGAUACCCUGGUAGUCCACGCCCUAAACGAUGCGAACUGGAGGUUGGGUGCAACUUGGCACUCAGUCUCGAAGCUAACGCGUUAAGUUCGCCGCCUGGGGAGUACGGUCGCAAGACUGAAACUCAAAGGAAUUGACGGGGGCCCGCACAAGCGGUGGAGUAUGUGGUUUAAUUCGAUGCAACGCGAAGAACCUUACCUGGUCUUGACAUGUCCGGAACCCUGCAGAGAUGCGGGGGUGCC
rnacentral:rRNA from 1 species